ensembl:lncRNA novel transcript
GCAUUCCAGCUCAGCGGGUGGAAGGUAUAAAUUUCAGCUGCUCUCAGCCCUGCUGUGUUUUUCCAAAGCCUUCCAACAGCAACAUGAAGUUGGCAGCCUUCCUCCUCCUGUGAUCCUCAUCAUCUUCAGCCUAGAGGUACAAGAGCUUCAGGCUGCAGGAGACCGGCUUUUGGGGGCCCCUUUUUACAGAUGAGAAAAGUUCCAGAAAGACCCAGAGACAUAAUCAGGUACCUGCGUCGAGCUCUGCACAGGUGACUGGGACUGCAACCCCGGAGACCACUGUGUCAGCAAUGGGUGUGGCCAUGAGUGUGUUGCAGGGUAAGGACAGAUGAAGAGUUAUCUUAAGGAUCAUCUUUCCCUAAGAUCGUCAUCCCUUCCUGGAGUUCCUAUCUUCCAAGAUGUGACUGUCUGGAGUUCCUUGACUAGGAAGAUGGAUGAAAACAGCAAGCCUGUGGAUGGAGACUACAGGGGAUAUGGGAGGCAGGGAAGAGGGGUUGUUUCUUUUAAUAAAUCAUCAUUGUUAAAAGCA